rnacentral:rRNA from 1 species
UACGUGGCAGCGAGCGUUGUUCGGAGUUACUGGGCGUGAAGGGUGUGUAGGCGGUCCUCUAAGUUUGGUGUGAAAUCUCCCGGCUCAACCGGGAGGGUGCGCCGAAAACUGGGGGGCUAGAGUGCGGGAUGGGUAAGUGGAAUUCCUGGUGUAGCGGUGAAAUGCGCAGAUAUCAGGAGGAACACCGGUGGCGAAGGCGGGUCUCUGGACAGUUCCUGACACUGAGACACGAAGGCCAGGGGAGCAAACGGG